rnacentral:rRNA from 1 species
UACGAAGGGGGCUAGCGUUGUUCGGAAUUACUGGGCGUAAAGCGCGCGCAGGCGGUCUUCCAAGUCAGUGGUGAAAGCCCGGAGCUCAACUCCGGAAUUGCCAUUGAAACUGUUGGACUUGAGGAUGAGAGAGGUGAGUGGAAUUCCCAGUGUAGAGGUGAAAUUCGUAGAUAUUGGGAAGAACACCGGUGGCGAGGGCGGCUCACUGGCUCGAUUACUGACGCUCAGGCGCGAUAGCGUGGGGAUCAAACAGG